CUGCAAUGCCCAUUUGGGCGUUUCCUCCCUAGACUUCUACCGCGUCCUAACGGGCGCGGUUUUUUUAUGCGCUGA
rnacentral:sRNA from 1 species